UGUCACAUACAUUCAGUAUGGAAACCAAACAUAACAGAUAGUGUAUGGAAGAUGCUGUCACUGCAUUACUGGGUCAUGUUUCAUAUAUUUCUGAUCACAUUGAAAGGUGUCAACUGCCAACAACUGACUGCAGUGAAGGAUGAAGAGUCCAGUUUAGAAGGCAGCACUGUGACUCUGACCUACAAAUACUCCCAAGCUGCUACUUUUAACGACUAUUUCUUCUGGUAUCAACAACAUCCAGGAAAACCUCCAGAGUUCCUCAUGUUUCACACAGUAGCACAAACUGAAACAAAAGCUGGACUGUCUGCUACUGUGAGUGUUGAUACAAAACAAACCAGUAUGAAGAUCUCCUCUGCUGCAGUGACAGACUCUGCUGUGUACUACUGUGCUGUGAGGCCCACAGUGACAGGAAACAGCAAAACUCUGUACAAAAACCUUUGGAUCAACAGAAAACUCCACAACAUCCACUAGAGGGAGACACACUCUGUUAAAGCUCUGAUUUGUGACUUGUUGGACUGAUGACAAAGACAACAGAGAAAUGAAGCAGUAAAGAUCAGAGACAGAGCUGCUGUGGAAACACAAAACAAUUUGAUUGGUUGAACUCAACUGGAAAAAAACGUGAUGUCAGGAGGUAAUGGCCCCGCCCACUGAACUUCAGCUCAUCCACUCACAUUAUUUCUUCCUCAUUGUACUGCAGUAGAAGAUCAUUGCUCAUCUGAUGUGUCUGACUUUAAUAAAUCCAAAGACAUGUUGCUUUACCUUUCUAUUUAUUAUCUUAUCUAUU